AAAUAAGUAAGCUAAACAUAAGCUUUUAGGUUCAUACCCUAACUAUAGAAUCAUAAUAUCUCUUAUUUA
rnacentral:tRNA from 1 species